rnacentral:rRNA from 1 species
AUUGAACGCUGGCGGCAUGCCUUACACAUGCAAGUCGAACGGCAGCACGGGAGCAAUCCUGGUGGCGAGUGGCGAACGGGUGAGUAAAGUAUCGGAACGUGCCCAGUCGUGGGGGAUAACGUAGCGAAAGUUACGCUAAUACCGCAUACGAUCUAUGGAUGAAAGCGGGGGAUCGCAAGACCUCGCGCGCUUGGAGCGGCUGAUAUGAGAUUAGGUAGUUGGUGGGGUAAAGGCUCACCAAGCCGACGAUCGGUAGCUGGUCUGAGAGGACGACCAGCCACACUGGGACUGAGACACGGCCCAGACUCCUACGGGAGGCAGCAGUGGGGAAUUUUGGACAAUGGGCGAAAGCCUGAUCCAGCCAUGCCGCGUGCAGGAUGAAGGCCUUCGGGUUGUAAACUGCUUUUGUACGGAACGAAAAGGUUUGGCCUAAUAAGCUGAGCUCAUGACGGUACCGUAAGAAUAAGCACCGGCUAACUACGUGCCAGCAGCCGCGGUAA